CAUGAGAGUCACUAGACGUUGGCUUUUUCCAGGCACAGCAACUCUUGUGGAGCCCUUUUGUAGAAGAGGCCACGCAUGGACCAAAAAGGUGAAGUGGUUCACAGCCCUGCUGAAGUGGAACCAAGAGCCAUCAAGCAGGAAAGCUUUUCAAGCUCUCCGGCAACCCCCUUGGGGCCUGGCAAGACUGGCAGAAAGUGAAAAGAAAAGGGCGGUGAUGGAGGGGAGAUCUUACUUUUUAAGAAGCCUUCCACUGAUCCUUUCCUGCCUCUCCUUGUGCUGGAUCCAAAACAUACCAGUACUAUGUCCUGCAGUUGCGAAGACCCACAUUCGUCAUCCGUUGCAUCUGUGGAAAACAGUGCCAGGGAACUCUUUUCAGGUGGUUCAUAGUCUAAACAGAACCACUUUUGACAUCGGGGUCUGCUAAGGACUCCAAGAUUUCUUGUAACUAUUUUGCAAAGGAAGGCUUCAACCGUUUGAUAAGCUGUCAAGUUUCAGAGCUCAUUGAUGGGAAUCUGCUUAGCUGCCUUCAGAGGUUCCACCUGGACAGAGGUGUAUUCCAAGCCUCACAGGAGGAGAGCAAGACCAACAUACAUGGCUUUCUUUAAGAAUUUUUGGAACUGUAGGUUCCAGAUUGUAGCUGUAAGAGUAAACUACAGUUCCCAGGAUUCCCUGGGGGAAAUAAUGUAAUUUCAGUGUAUGGUGUGCCCAGCAGCUAGCACGCCCCAAGCCACUCUGCGCUCUUUCCUGUUGUGGAACUUCUGUUGUGAGCUGAAAUAAUGGAAAUUGUGUCUCUUUGGAGGCAAGAGAGAGGAAGGGGCAUUUGACACAUGCCAGAGACCAUAGAAAUGUAAGAUUGUUAUAUGGCCUUUGCAGUAAUUUUAUCAAAUUGUUUACUUUUUAAGCAGCAUUCCAGAUCACAAGGUCCAUUGAGGGUUUUAUUUGCUUAACUCAAAUGUGAGGCCCUCCAGAUGUUCUGGGCUACAUCUUGAAUCAUCCUGGAUUGCUGGCCUUGCUGGUUUGGGCUGAUGGGACAGCAACAUCUGGAGGGCCAGCAGUUUCAUCUUAACUGUUUCUCUUUUAUUUUAUUUUAUUUUGUAAUUUUCAGUUAUAUACAUUUCAAUAGUUUUACAGUCAUUUAAACGUUUCAAGACUUCCUUCUUCGUCUUUCUGGGGUCCCUUAAAAUUAUGUUUAUAUUUCUUGCAUAUUCUAAAUUAACUUUUUUAUUCACCUACUUUAAUUAUAUACUUUUUUUUUAAAAAAAAGCUCAACAAUACAAAAAAAACCACACACAAAUUGGGUACAUAAGACAUGACUAGACUAACAUAUAAUUACUUAGCACGACCUUGCAUAACCUAACACAACACCCUCCACCCACCUUGACUCCCCUCCCCUCCAUCCCAAUUUCUAUUGUAAAUUAUAUUGAGUAUUUGCAUUGCAUUUCCUUUCUAAAUUUUCUGAUAUAUCCUUUUGAACAUCAUUCUUCUUAUAAGCUGCUUAUAACUCUAUUACCUUAAUCUAUGCAUCUCAACAUGCUUUUUUGUGAACAGUGUUUUUCCAUAUGUUGUUCAAAACAUUCCCAUUCUAACCUUAAUCUUUGGUUUGAUUGUAGCCUUAUGGCUGCUGUUAAUUUUGCUAAUUGUAUGUAAUCGCUCAUUUUGCAUAGCCACUCCUCUUUUGAGGGGAUUUCUUUACUUUUCCAUUUACUUGCUAAUACCGUUCUAGCUGCUGCCGUGGCAUACAAGAAGAUUGUUUUCCUAUCCUUUGGAAUAUCUUUCCCUAGUAGGCCCAAUAGAUAAGCCUCUGGGUUCUAGAGGUUCUUAUUAUCUUUAUUUCCUCAUGUACUGUAUCCCAAAGGAGUUUUACCUUUUUGCAUCUCCACCAGGCAUGAUACAUUGUCCCCUCCAUUUUUUCACAUUUCCAAUACAGGUUAGAUUUAAAUUUAUAAAUUUUAGCCAAUUUGGAUGGUGUUAGAUACCAUCUAUAGAGCAUUUUCAUAUCAUUCUCCCUAAUCAUAUAGCAUGCUGUGAACUUUAUUUCCAUGCACCAGUAUUUCCCACUGUUCCAUGUAUAUUGUUCGUCUGAUAUCUUAGCCCGUUUGAUCAAGCAUUCUUUUACCUGUUCGUCCUUCAUGUCCCAUUCCUUCAUGUCCAUUCAUAUACUGUACUUUGGAUAGUAGGUUUUUUUGUUAUUUAAUAAUACAAAAUACAAAUACAAAACAAUUAUAUUUAAUAAUAUAACUGUGAUUCUUCUUCACUGAAUCCUUUAAGUCCUGCUCAAAUGCACUUUUUAAUUGGUGAUAUUACAGCCAGCCAGAUAACCGAUGUUUUAAUUUCUUCCUAUGGCUUCAGUUUUAUUUGCCCUUGUUAAACCCCUAAGAGUGGCUUAUAGAUUGGCCAUUUGUUAUCCAUAUUCAAUUUUUUUAACUGCAAGGGCCUCUGGUGGAGAUAACCACCAGGGGGUCUUAGGUUCUAAUAUUGGCUGGUAUUUACUCCAAACGUUACGUUUUCCUAAAAAUGAUUGUUGAAUCCACUAUGUACUUUUAUUGUGACCAAGAUAAGCGUGUCAACCGUACCUGUUGUUAAAGCUUUCUAAGUCUAAUCUCUAAAUUCAAUUAGUAAAAUUAUCACAUUCGAAAUUCAGAAUUAAAUUCCCUUUGAGAGAUCUGGAAGAAUCUAAAAUAUUAACACAUUUACUUUAAGUUCUAUGUAAAGAAGUUCGCUUGAGAAAAGAAAAGAAUCACUCUAAUUAGUUUAAUUCUGUACACUUAUGAAACUGAAGGUUAUUGCAAUAAUCCUGUCAUAUCCUUAUCUGUUUACAAUUUAUUUGUAAAAUAUUCAUUAACCAUUUCCAUUCUUUUUUAAAAAGUUACAUUGAUUUCUUAUUUUUCUGGUAAUUUUCACAAUCUUAACUGUUUCUCAAUGGGAUAUUGCCUCCUGCAUUGAGUUAUAAAGGAAUAAUUACAAAUAAAAUUUCUUUGAAAAUGGCUGCCUCUCUUUGCAUGGGUGGUAUUGUGGUUGCUG